AGUGAUUUGGUACUGAACUACACUUCAUACUGAGCAAGUUGUAUGUGUGUGUGUGUGUGUGUGUGUGUGUAUAUAUAUACACACACACACACACACACACACAUACACACACACAC
rnacentral:miRNA from 1 species